UCCCUGGUGGUCCAGUGGCUAAGGCUCUGUGCUCCCAGUGAAGGGGGCCCAGGUUCAAUCCCUGGUCAGGGAA
rnacentral:tRNA from 1 species